rnacentral:tRNA from 1 species
CAGACUAUACUUAAAGUUAAGGGAUUCAUUUACACUGAGUUAAUGUUGUGCAAUUCAAUAUAGUUUGA